rnacentral:rRNA from 1 species
GACGAACGCUGGCGGCGUGCUUAACACAUGCAAGUCGAACGAGAAUCUGUGGAUCGAGGAUUCGUCCAAGUGAAGCAGAGGACAGUGGCGGACGGGUGAGUAACGCGUGAGGAACCUGCCUUUCAGAGGGGGACAACAGUUGGAAACGACUGCUAAUACCGCAUGAUACAUUUGGGUGGCAUCAUCUGAAUGUCAAAGAUUUAUUGCUGAAAGAUGGCCUCGCGUCUGAUUAGCUAGUUGGUGGGGUAACGGCUCACCAAGGCGACGAUCAGUAGCCGGUCUGAGAGGAUGAACGGCCACAUUGGGACUGAGAUACGGCCCAGACUCCUACGGGAGGCAGCAGUGGGGAAUAUUGGGCAAUGGGG